rnacentral:rRNA from 1 species
CUGACGAGUGGCGAACGGGUGAGUAAUACAUCGGAACGUGCCCAGUCGUGGGGGAUAACUACUCGAAAGAGUAGCUAAUACCGCAUACGAUCUGAGGAUGAAAGCGGGGGACCUUCGGGCCUCGCGCGAUUGGAGCGGCCGAUGGCAGAUUAGGUAGUUGGUGGGAUAAAAGCUUACCAAGCCGACGAUCUGUAGCUGGUCUGAGAGGACGACCAGCCACACUGGGACUGAGACACGGCCCAGACUCCUACGGGAGGCAGCAGUGGGGAAUUUUGGACAAUGGGCGAAAGCCUGAUCCAGCAAUGCCGCGUGCAGGAUGAAGGCCUUCGGGUUGUAAACUGCUUUUGUACGGAACGAAAAAGCUCCUUCUAAUACAGGGGGCCCAUGACGGUACCGUAAGAAUAAGCACCGGCUAACUACGUGCCAGCAGCCGCGGUAAUACGUAGGGUGCGAGCGUUAAUCGGAAUUACUGGGCGUAAAGCGUGCGCAGGCGGUUAUGUAAGACAGAUGUGAAAUCCCCGGGCUCAACCUGGGAACUGCAUUUGUGACUGCAUGGCUAGAGUACGGUAGAGGG